CCCCAAAAGUUCAGUAAACAAAAACAUUUGGAAAAAGAUCUAUGUACCACAGAAGGAAAUCUCCUUAACCAAGGUCUCAUAACUUACAUUCCUGUGGAAUUGGUGUGCCUCACGGCUUCAGCAGUGUCAUGGAAAAAGUGAUGACCUUACAUUCAUAAGUCUCCAGGUCCUAGUCCUGCUACCUACUAUGUGUUUGACCUUGGGUAAGUCAUAGCCUCCUUGUGCUUGAUCUUUCUCAUCUGUAAAAUUUUA
rnacentral:lncRNA from 12 species